AUUGAACGCUGGCGGCAGGCCUAACACAUGCAAGUCGAGCGGAGCGGCGGACGGGUGAGUAAUACCUAGGAAUCUGCCUGGUAGUGGGGGAUAACGUCCGGAAACGGGCGCUAAUACCGCAUACUAUCAGAUGAGCCUAGGUCUGAUGAGCUUGUUGGUGGGGUAAAGGCCUACCAAGGCGACGAUCCGUAACUGGUCUGAGAGGAUGAUCAGUCACAAUGGAAAUGAGACACGUUCCAGCCUCCUACGGGAGGCAGCAGUGGGGAAUAUUGGACAAUGGGCGAAAGCCUAAUCCAGCAAUGCCGCGUGUGUGAAGAAGGUCUUAGGAUUGUAAAGUACUUUAAGUUGGGAGGCGUUACCAACAGAAUAAGCACCGGCUAACUUCGUGCCAGCAGCCGCGGUAAUUC
rnacentral:rRNA from 1 species